rnacentral:lncRNA from 1 species
GAUUCCCGCUUCACGACAUAAUUUAUCAGGACCUCUGUUUUAAAUUAGGCUCUGGGUCAGAACUUGGGGCCUGGCCUGGACAAGUCACUGGGGCGAGUGUGAGUUGACUUGCCCAAGUCUGUGCCAAGCUGGACAAAGAACCCAAAAAACAAUAAAAAAUAAAAACAAAAAUAAAAAAAAAACUGAAGAACUGGUAAAAAUAGGGAAAAAAUAAAAAAAAGAUAAACAAAAGAAAAAAUAUAUAAAACAUGAGAAAAAAUUCAAAAGUAAAAACAUAGAAAACUGGUUAAAGAUCAUUUUCUCAGAAAAUUGAGAAAAAUAAAAAAAGGCAAAGUAUUAAAAUCCUAAAACCAUAAAAAGCACAUAGAAAACUAUUAUAAGUCAAUCAUAAUUGAUUUAGUCAAAAAUCAUUUAAAUCCACUUUAUUUAAUUAUAACUCACUUAUAUAUACCCUUCAGUUUCGGGAGUGUGCUGAACCCAAGUAACUCGGGUGAGUCAGAGUCAACUCACCAGGGUCUGGAAACACUGAUCAGGACUAGAAAGCAUAGACCAUAAUAAGCACAAAUGUAGAACAGUCACUUGCAGCAACAAAAGGUUUCAGACCAUGACCAUUUACUUCUGAAAUAAGUUAAUUUUCUACUCUACAUUCUUUAUUAAUCAUAUUACAGCGCCUUUUGGAUCAAAGAAAGAUGAAGGAUAAGUCUAGGGUCUCAUUGGCAAAUCAAUUAAAUAAGAAGAAAUACCAAACAGAGGGUAC